rnacentral:lncRNA from 1 species
GAGUGGCACUCAUGAGCGCUACCCAACCAAGUAUGCAAGUGUGUCUCUACCGAGCUCAAUCAGCAUCUCACAGGCUAUAGUCAAAGAAGAAUAGUCAAGCCACCAAAACUCACGUGUCCUCGGCAUAAUCUGAUGCAAAAACAGCAAACUGGGUCCACCGUCAACCUCAACGGCACCCGACAGUCCGGAACAGCCUAAACACUGCUGUAAAAAUAAGCUCGGCAUCCCAGCAGGAGUGUAAAUGCAUUCUACACUAUUCUGAAUAUCCACCGUCUACAAACUGCGGCGAUACAAAUAAAUUACAGCUCCUAGAGCUAAAUCUGGUAGUUUCAGAAUAUGACGGUGUAGAAUCGAUAGUUUUCUCCUAAUUCAAUUCUAAGUCCAACAUAUAUAAUUUAGCUAAUAUUCUAAGCUCCAAUUCAGAUUUAAAAGCAUGCAAAUUCAAGAAUCGAACUACUAAACAUGCUAAACAGAGCUAAAAACGCAUGCUAUCAAUGUAUAGAAUUAGGAGGAAAUCCGUAGAAUUCGGUAAGUAUAACCUUAAUCCACCUCAAAUGCUAAUUUUCAAUGGCAAGAAGUCGAUAGGAGAAGAAAUCCCGCUCUCGCCCGGCCUCCAACGGCGCUACCACGACGCACGUAGGCUCAACCGGCUCUCCGGCGCAAAGUCGACGUCGAUCUGAGCUCCAACCGUGACCUCCACCAUGUACGACUCAAGCUAGAGAGAGAGGAAAUUAGAGAAGUGAAAUUCUUCUACUAAUUGAGUUAAUACGUGUACUCAUAAAUGGAGUUGAUAAGUAUGGGGAUAGGUGGAAUCUUUAUCCACCACAAAAAAUGACCAUCCUACCUUCACCAACUCAAACCAAGGAUACUACAUCUUAGGAGGAUAAAAUAGUUUUCUAAAUAUUUUUUAUUAAUUUUACUAUAAAUUUUAUUUUAAAAUUGUUUUUAUAUUUGUUAAAAUAUUAAAAUUUAUUAAACAAAAUAUAAGU